rnacentral:rRNA from 1 species
CAGGACGAACGCUGGCGGCGUGCCUAAUACAUGCAAGUCGAACGGUCUUUCUAUGGAAGCUUGCUUCCACUGAGAAGAUAGUGGCGAACGGGUGAGUAACACGUGGGUAACCUGCCCAUAAGAGGGGGGAUAACAUCCGGAAACGGGUGCUAAUACCGCAUAGUUUUCUUGAUCGCAUGAUUGAGAAAGGAAAGAUGGCCUUUGUGCUGUCGCUUAUGGAUGGACCCGCGGCGUAUUAGUUAGUUGGUGAGGUAACGGCUCACCAAGACGAUGAUACGUAGCCGACCUGAGAGGGUGAUCGGCCACAUUGGGACUGAGACACGGCCCAAACUCCUACGGGAGGCAGCAGUAGGGAAUCUUCCGCAAUGGACGAAAGUCUGACGGAGCAACGCCGCGUGAGUGAAAGAAGGUUUUCGGAUCGUAAAACUCUGUUGUCAGAGAAGAACAAGUUGGAGAGUAACUGCUCCAGCCUUGACGGUAUCUGACCAGAAAGCCACGGCUAACUACGUGCCAGCCGCCGC